rnacentral:rRNA from 1 species
CGGGAGGCGGCAGCAGGGAAUCUUGGGCAAUGGGCGAAAGCCUGACCCAGCGACGUCGCGUGGGGGACGAAGGCCUUAGGGUUGUAAACCCCUUUUCCGAGGGAAGAGAAAGGACGGUACCUCGGGAAUAAGCCCCGGCUAACUACGUGCCAGCAGCCGCGGUAAUACGUAGGGGGCAAGCGUUACCCGGAAUCACUGGGCGUAAAGUGCGCGUAGGCGGUUGGAUAAGUCUCUUGUGAAAGCUCCCGGCUCAACUGGGAGAGGUCAAGGGAUACUAUUCGACUUGAGGACAGCAGAGGUAAGCGGAAUUCCCGGUGUAGCGGUGGAAUGCGUAGAUAUCGGGAGGAACACCAGUGGCGAAAGCGGCUUACUGGGCUGUAACUGACGCUGAGGCGCGAGAGCGUGGGGAGCAAACUGGAUUAGAUACCCAGGUAGUCCACGCCCUAAACGAUGGAUACUAGGUAUGGGGGGUAUUGACCCCCUCCGUGCCGUAGCUAACGCACUAA